UCAAACUGCAAUAUGUUUCUGUUAGCAUUUCUCUUCGUAGCACUUGCAGGAUGUAAUUCUGAGGACAGAGUUGACCAGCAUAUAAGAGUUCAAACAGCAUUUGAAGAUGGGAGGAGUCUACUGAGAUUUGGGAAAGAGCAAACUACUCAU